UCACCCCUAAACUGCCAACAGGCUCUUUCUCCAUUUGAGCCUGCAGAGCCUAUUGGUACAGUAAGGGACCCCUCACCCCAUGGAGCUGCUGGCCCUUCAGGACAGCUUUUGCAACAUGUCCCCAUCCUUCCUCAGUGCAGACAUACCCAGCUGGUCCCAUUAACUCUGCGCUAUUGUAAAACAAUCACAUUAACCAGACCUGAGGAUAUUGGCUGAGAACAUUCUGGUUUCUCUCACGUUCUAAGGGAGCUCUUGAGGUCAGAGACUCUCACCUCCACAUUCUGGACCCCUCAGAACCUCAAUCCAGAGUGAUGAACUUGGAAGCUGCUUCCAAAACGUUUCUGUUGAUUUUGAUAAGCUGAAAGCCCCCAGUUUGGGGUAAAGUGAAAACAUCCUUUGUUCUGAGGAGAAAAGAGUUUACAUUGGCCUUUGUGGCAACUUUUAAUCACUGCUUUAUUUUAAAAAAAAAAUUAAAAUAAGAAAGUACUGUGUGAGUCUUCCAGCUUUCCAGGGACUUUGAGCUUCCAAGAGCUAGAAGCCAUUUCCCGAUUCAGACGCUUAGGUCAUCUGCGAGUGGGACAGCAGCGCCAUCCAGUGGCCGUCUUGCGCAGCAGCUCCUCUGUAUUCCUCAACCCGUAGUAUUUUUCCUUCUGCUCCAGAACAUGCAGUCUCGGAAGUCCUGUAGUAUAGAAACUUGUUUUCCCAAAGUCACUUGGAUAUACCUUCUUUUUUUUUUCCCCUUGGUUCAACAUCUGUUAACUUUUUGAAGAAUUAAUGUUCUACGGAAUUUCUUGGAGAAAAAAUUUUCUCAAAGUGUGGUCCAAGGACCUUCUGUGGGGGUUUUCAAGAGUCUUUUAGGGGUUCUGCAAGGUUAAAAUUAUUUUUGUAGUACUAAGACAUUAUUCGCGUUUUUGUUCUCAUUCUUUCUUGCAUGUGCAGUGUAGUUCUCCAGGGGCUACGUGACUUAAACAAAGCUUUUGGAGGGGCCGGUUCUGGGGCCGAGUGAAGUUCGCGCGCUCCGCUGCCGUGGCCUAGGGUUCGGAUCCUGGCCGCGGACAUGGCACUGCUCAUCAGGCCACGUUGAGGCGGCGUCCCAUAUCCCACAACUAGAAGGACCUGCAACUAAGAUAUACUACUGUGUACGGGGGG
rnacentral:lncRNA from 1 species